AUUGAACGCUGGCGGCAGGCCUAACACAUGCAAGUCGAACGAGUGGCGGACGGGUGAGUAAUGUCUGGGAAACUGCCUGAUGGAGGGGGAUAACUACUGGCAACGGUAGCUAAUACCGCAUACUAUCGGAUGUGCCCAGAUGGGAUUAGCUAGUAGGUGGGGUAACGGCUCACCAAGGCGACGAUCCCUAGCUGGUCUGAGAGGAUGACCAGCCACACUGGGACUGAGAAACGUGCCAGACUCCUACGGGAGGCAGCAGUGGGGAAUAUUGCACAAUGGGCGCAAGCCUGAUGCAGCCAUGCCGCGUGUAUGAAGAAGGCCUGCGGGUUGUAAAGUACUUUCAGCGGGGAGGCGUUACCCGCAGAAGAAGCACCGGCGAACUCCGUGCCAGCAGCCGCGGUAAUAC
rnacentral:rRNA from 1 species